GAGUUCUUAUCUAUACCUGUAGCCAUUCUUUCCAAGGGCUCAUUGCACUUUGUGCAGGUCUUCAGAUGCAAGAAGACAGCCACAGCUGUGGCACACUGCAAACGCAGCAAUCAAGGUGAACAGGCGGCCCCUGGAGAUGAUCGAGCUAUACAUACCAAUAUAUGAGCUGCUGGAACCAGUUCUGCUUCCAGACAAGGAGUGAUUUGCUGGCAUGGACGUGUCCAUGUGAAGGGUGGUGAUCACAUGGCCUAGAUAUAUGCUAUCCAUCAGUCCAGCCUCAAAGCCCUGGUGUCCUAUUACCAGAAGUAUAUGGAUGAGUUUUCCAAGGAGGAGAUCAAAGACAAAGAUCAAAGACAUCCUCAUACAGUACGACCAGAUCCUGCUGGUGGCUGACCUCCACCACCACUAAUCCAAAAAAUUAAGAGACGCUGGUACCCAUGCUUGCUACCAGAAAUCCUACCAA
rnacentral:lncRNA from 1 species